CUUAACGUAAACCUAGGUUAAAAUAGACACACAAAAAAUGCAAUUAAUCAUAGUUGAAAAUUUACUGCAGAAUGAAUGAAUGAUUAACAAAAAACGAAGAAACAGAUAAUAUAGAUCGAUGAAAUUAAGAUUAUGAUGGAAACGAAAUGAAGGUGGAAAAUGGUGAGAGAGAAGGCGAACCAUUGUUGAGGAAGGCGGAUCUCUUUCUGCGAGCGAGCGAGAGUGAUGAAAGAGUGAGAGCUAGGGUUAAGAAAGGUUUAGGUUUA
rnacentral:lncRNA from 1 species